AUACGUAGGGAGCGAGCGUUGUCCGGAAUUACUGGGUGUAAAGGGAGCGUAGGCGGGACUGCAAGUCAGAUGUGAAAUACCGGGGCUUAACCCCGGAGCUGCAUUUGAAACUGUGGUUCUUGAGUGAAGUAGAGGUAAGCGGAAUUCCUGGUGUAGCGGUGAAAUGCGUAGAUAUCAGGAGGAACACCGGUGGCGAAGGCGGCUUGCUGGGCUUUUACUGACGCUGAGGCUCGAAAGCGUGGGUAGCAAACAGGAUUAGAUACCCUGGUAGUCCACGCUGUAAACGAUGAUUACUAGGUGUGGGGGGACUGACCCCUUCCGUGCCGCAGUUAACACAAUAAGUAAUCCACCUGGGGAGUACGGCCGCAAGGUUGAAACUCAAAGGAAUUGACGGGG
rnacentral:rRNA from 1 species